UAGGGAAUCUUCCACAAUGGACGAAAGUCUGACGGAGCAACGCCGCGUGAGUGAAGAAGGGUUUCGGCUCGUAAAACUCUGUUGUUAAAGAAGAACAUAUCUGAGAGUAACUGUUCAGGUAUUGACGGUAUUUAACCAGAAAGCCACGGCUAACUACGUGCCCG
rnacentral:rRNA from 1 species